rnacentral:lncRNA from 1 species
GGCCAUCUAGCUCUUUAGGGAGAGCUAGAGUCCCUUAGCGCGGAUCACUCAGGGCCCUUUGGGCGAUCCUCUGCAGUUCCUACCACCUGAGGGACAAGCCACCAGCUCAGUCUCUGCCAAGAGCUGGGCUAGGAGGGUACCUAGCAGAGGUGACAGAUGAGGGAGGACGAGCCUGACUUGGUGCCCAACUCAAAUUGUAACAUGCAGGAUGCCAGCUCUGAGACACUGUUUCAGGUGUGCUCCUGAAGCCGCCCUAUGCAGCACACCCCAAUGCAGGUGACUGCAAGCACAUCCUUCUUGGCAGCUGGGCGGCCCAGGAAAGGUUGGGACGGGCCCCUCCUCCUGCUCUGCAAGGCACAACGUCCUGGGUGAGGCUCCCAAAGCAUGGCUCCCCCUAAAACAUCUUGCUGGAACCACCACCCACUCCCUGGGGGGCUCAGCAGCCCCAUGGCUGUGUCGCCUCCUCCCGAGAGGCUUCUCCGUGGUUAGGCCUCGGCCUGGCAGUCUUUUCUGUCAAGGGCCAGACAGCAAGUGUUUCUGGCUUUGCAGCCAUGGAAACCACUCGCCUCUGUGCUGCAGCGGGCAAACCCCACAGACAAUGCACACGCAUGGCUGGAGUUUCUCGCCCCUGGUUUAAGCUCUUCCUGCACUUCAGACACAUCCUUCUCACUCCAAAGUGGCACAAGUCCCUCAAGCCAACAACACUGGCCUCGUGAACCCCAUCUAGUCCUCAGGGAUCUCGUCCGUGGCAGCUGCCCUCUCCCCAUCCUCACCUCACUCACCACAGCUCAACUCACUGGGAGCUCGUGAGGGCAGAC